rnacentral:rRNA from 1 species
AUUGAACGCUGGCGGCGUGCCUAAUACAUGCAAGUCGAGCGAACAGAUAAGGAGCUUGCUCCUUUGACGUUAGCGGCGGACGGGUGAGUAACACGUGGAUAACCUACCUAUAAGACUGUGAUAACUUCGGGAAACCGGAGCUAAUACCGGAUAACAUAUUGAACCGCAUGGUUCAAUAGUGAAAGGCGGCUUUGCUGUCACUUAUAGAUGGAUCCGCGCCGUAUUAGCUAGUUGGUAAGGUAACGGCUUACCAAGGCAACGAUACGUAGCCGACCUGAGAGGGUGAUCGGCCACACUGGAACUGAGACACGGUCCAGACUCCGACGGGAGGCAGCAGUAGGGAAUCUGCCGCAAUGGGCGAAAGCCUGACGGAGCAACGCCGCGUGAGUGAUGAAGGUCUUCGGAUCGUAAAACUCUGUUAUCAGGGAAGAACAAAUGUGUAAGUAACUGUGCACAUCUUGACGGUACCUGAUCAGAAAGCCACGGCUAACUACGUGCCAGCAGCCGCCGUAA